UAAAAACAGUAUAAUAAAUAAUUAUUUUUGCUGUAUUAGUUGUUUUCAAAAUACUACAUACCUACCUACAUAAUAAUAAGUACGAACAUACUUAUUUGUUUCUUACGUUAUCAUUUACAGAUUCGUCAAUACUUUGCUACUUAAUCAUGUGCAUUAAAAUAGUCAUUCGGGUGACAGUGACUGGUUAUUUCAGGUUAUAGAAUUUAUCCAGUCAGUUUUAUUAGUAACCCAAUACCCAUUACUAUAAGGUUAUAAGUUACCCAUUCAGUAUACUAAUUAGUAGUUAGAUGCCUAUUUACUUUCAUAAUAAUCCAUU